GGAGCCAUGCCUGAAAAAGGGCCAUCUUGAUAGGGUGAAACAUGUAAGAAUUAGUCUUUCUGGCUCCU
rnacentral:tRNA from 1 species